AGGGUGUAAACGCUGCAGACUUGGUGUUGGAGGCCCGUUUGGGGGGCAUUCAGUGCCGGAGAGAAGUUGUUAAGUCUGCUACUUGGGGAGUACGUCCGCAAGGAUGAAACUUAAAGGAAUUGGCGGGGGAGCACCGCAACGGGAGGAGCGUGCGGUUUAAUUGGAUUCAACACCGUAAACUCACCAGGGAAGACUGUUACAUGAAGGCCGAGAUGAAGACUCUGCUAGAUUUUUCAGAGAGGAGGUGCAUGGCGUCAGUGACU
rnacentral:rRNA from 1 species